UUUAAAAUAAAACAUAAUAGUGGCGAGCAUUUGCCAAAAUAAUGCGCUUCACGCACAAUUAAUCUAAUAAAUUGUAAACAAAACAGUUCAGAUAUAAAACAGUUCAGAUAUAAAACAGUUUUAAAGCUAAACAAAAAACAUAAUAACAUUAAUUGUAACAAAGACAGCUCUAGGUAGGAUCACACAUCUUAAGUAAAGUGACUCAAAGAGGAUAUUUAUCAUGAAUAUGUUGCAAAAAAAGUAUAAAAAUCUGCCACAGAUUCUCUCUUUUGAAACCAUAGUAUUCUCUGUAUAUGGCUUCAUCAAGCCUGGACCAUUUUAAAUAACCCUGCAAUCCACAUACAAACUUUAACUUACGCUUGAUUCUGCUCCAAAACAAUUCAACAUGGUUUGUUGUCGCGUGUGUCAAAGGAUCUACAAAAUUUGUGGUAUGAUUCACAGUAAGAUGGUUAUAACCUAAAUUAUUUAACGUAUUGUAAGACGCCCAUUGAUCUGAAUAAAUUGUUGACCCGGGAUUACAAUUAACGGCACUAAUGUCUCAGCAGUUCGAUCAGGGACACGUCUUAAAUAACCUUUUUUUGAUGUUAAGUCAUAUGCGCCAAAAUCCAAUGUUUUUUCACAACGUGCCUAACAUUAUUUUUUCUUUUGAACAUUAACGACUCGUCAAUCUCAACUAUAUGACCAGGUCCACCUAACUGAACUGUAUUGGUAAGAUCAAUAAUUUUAAACGUAGUGACGUAUCUAAAAUAUUGAUACCACUGAUCAGAAGUUUUAGCACACCCCAGUGAAAAAUAAAACCGCGUCCCACAUGGGUUCUAUGUGGGUUCCGUGUGGGAUUCAUGGGAUUUAUAUGGGACGGAUUUUCCCAUGUGGUAUCCGUAUGGAAAUUUGCCACUUAAAACCCAUAUGGGUAAAUCCCACAUGGGUUACAUGUGGUAUUUACUCACAUGGGAUUUUCCCAUGUGGUAUCCGUAUGGAAUUUUGCCACUUUAAACCCAAAUGGGUAAUCCCACAUGGGUUACAUGUGGGAACCAUAUGGUAUUUACCCACAUGGGAAAUCCCACGUUUGUUUCUUGUGGGAUUUACAUGGGAUUUUAUUUGAAGGCUGGAAACUAAAAUAAUCUUAAAUGUUAAAAAUAACAAUACAUUACUUUCGCGGUGAAGUUACAUGCAUCUUGUUUCAGCAUAAAAAUAUCUAAAAUUAAUCUUACAAAAUGGCAAGCAAGUAUAUUCUCAUGAACGGAUACAAACUCUUGUCAAGUUAUCCAUAAUACAUUAGUCAUCGAAAUGCUUGAAGAAAGUAGUUUUUUCUAAUAUGGUAAAAACCUUAGCAUUGAGCGAGCCAAGGCAAUUUGCUUUGUUAAUUGAAUCGACAAAAGGCGUGUAAAUCACAAAAGAACAAAUAAUAUUUUUCACAUUUAUUUUUAAUGUAUUUAUUAAUAGCUAUUAUUUAAAUAAAAAUUCAUUUUGCAA